rnacentral:rRNA from 1 species
UACGAAGGGGGCUAGCGUUGCUCGGAAUUAUUGGGCGUAAAGAGCUCGUAGGCGGUCUGUCGCGUCGGUCGUGAAAACUUGGGGCUUAACCCUGAGCUUGCGGUCGAUACGGGCAUGACUGGAGUUCGGCAGGGGAGACUGGAAUUCCUGGUGUAGCGGUGAAAUGCGCAGAUAUCAGGAGGAACACCGGUGGCGAAGGCGGGUCUCUGGACAGUUCCUGACACUGAGACACGAAGGCCAGGGGAGCAAACGGG